CACUCACCACAACCAGGGGCUGUUUCACAAUUUGGGUUAGUAAUCUUAGGGGCUUCCCAUUCACCAUCCUCUUCAUCGUCCCAAUCUUCUGGUUUUGUAGCCUCUGGGUCAUCUAUCUCCUCAGGCUCAUCAUCUAACCAUCCUUCAGGUUUCACAGUUUCUUCAUCAAGAAUUUCCAAGGGUGCAUCCUCAUCCCAGUCAUCAGGCUUUACUGCACUUGGGUCUGGAAUUUUCUCUCUCUCGUCCCAGUCCUCAGGUUUCUUAUCUUCAGGAUCUGGGAUUGUCUUGGGAGGGAUAAGGGAAGGCUCAAAAUCCUCAGAAGAUAAGAAAUUUGCCUUUUUCUUCUGUUCCCCAUCAAUCAAAAUUUGCAACUCAUUGUCGGGUUUCAAAAUAGCAGUGUAC
rnacentral:lncRNA from 1 species